UACAGAGGGUGCGAGCGUUAAUCGGAAUUACUGGGCGUAAAGCGUGCGUAGACGGUUAUUUAAGUCGGGUGUGAAAGCCCCGGGCUCAACCUGGGAAUUGCAUUCGAGACUGAAUAGCUAGGGUACGGUAGAGGGAAGUGGAAUUUCCGGUGUAGCGGUGAAAUGCGUAGAUAUCGGAAGGAACAUCAGUGGCGAAAGCGACGUCCUGGACCAGUACCGACGUUCAGGCACGAAAGCGUGGGGAGCAAACAGG
rnacentral:rRNA from 1 species